UACGUAGGGUGCGAGCGUUGUCCGGAAUUAUUGGGCGUAAAGAGCUUGUAGGCGGUCUGUCGCGUCUGCUGUGAAAAUCCGGGGCUCAACCCCGGACUUGCAGUGGGUACGGGCAGACUAGAGUGUGGUAGGGGAGACUGGAAUUCCUGGUGUAGCGGUGAAAUGCGCAGAUAUCAGGAGGAACACCGAUGGCGAAGGCAGGUCUCUGGGCCGACUACUGAC
rnacentral:rRNA from 1 species